rnacentral:pre_miRNA from 1 species
GAUGACUGGAUUUGUAAAGCGCUUGGGACCAAGUAAAGCGCUAUACAAAUACAGGCCAUU